rnacentral:rRNA from 1 species
GAUUCUGGCUCAGAACGAACGCUGGCGGCAGGUCUUAGGCAUGCAAGUCGAACGGAUGACAGAGAGCUUGCUCUCUGAAGUCAGUGGCGCACGAGUGAGUAACGCGUGGGAAACUGCCCUUCACUGGGGAAUAACGUUUGGAAACGAACGCUAAUACCGCAUACGCCCGCAAGGGGAAAGAUUUAUCGGUGAUGGAUGUGCCCGCGUUGGAUUAGCCAGUUGGUGGGGUAAUGGCCUACCAAAGCAAUGAUCCAUAGCUGGUCUGAGAGGACGAUCAGCCACGCUGGAACUGAGACACGGUCCAGACUCCUACGGGAGGCAGCAGCUAAGAAUAUUGGGCAAUGGAGGAAACUCUGACCCAAGCCAUGCCGCGUGAAUGAAGAAGGCCUUCGGGUUGUAAAGUUCUUUUAGUCAUGAAGAUGAUGACAGUAGUGACAGAAAAAGCACCGGCUAACUUCGUGCCAGCCGCCGC